GCUCUUCAAAACCGCCGUCGGCCCCUCUAUAUUCCCCUUGCCGGUCGCAAGUCCGGCUAUGGCGAUAAACGUUCUUCGCAAUAAACCUAUCGGACCCGGGGGCGGUACCCGGCGCCUCCACCCGAACCCAGGACCGAUGGCCGCAUGGCCGAGAUGCUGGGUUCCGGCGGGGGCGAAAUAGGAUCGACGAGGGCGUAAAGGGAGCACUUUCGCUCGGCAUGGUUCCGCCGUUAUCGGGCCUUUGCAAUAGUUGCCAACGACAACUUUGCUCCGGUGGCUGUCGCCGCGUAAGCGGUGCCAAAAACCGACCUAAAGUCCUAACGGGUAGCACCGAUUAGGCGGGGUUCGGAGGUACCUGGCAACAGAAACCUCCACU
rnacentral:tmRNA from 1 species